CAGUCGCCGCGGUAAUACGAAGGGUGCAAGCGUUACUCGGAAUUACUGGGCGUAAAGCGUGCGUAGGUGGUGGUUUAAGUCCGUUGUGAAAGCCCUGGGCUCAACCUGGGAAUUGCAGUGGAUACUGGGUCACUAGAGUGUGGUAGAGGAUAGUGGAAUUUCCGGUGUAGCAGUGAAAUGCGUAGAGAUCGGAAGGAACAUCUGUGGCGAAGGCGACUAUCUGGGCCAACACUGACACUGAGACACGAAAGCGUGGGGAGCAAACAGGAUUAGAUACCCCAGUAGUCCCUGUCUCUUAUAC
rnacentral:rRNA from 1 species